rnacentral:rRNA from 1 species
GACAGGGGUCUCGAGCGUUAUUCGGAAUUACUGGGCUUAAAGGGUGCGUAGGCCGGCCCGCAAGUGCUUUGUGAAAUCCCCCGGCUCAACCGGGGAACAGCUCGGCAUACUGCGGGUCUUGAGGAAGGCAGGGGUCGCCAGAACUGUAGGUGGAGCGGUGAAAUGCGUAGAUAUCAUCUGGAACGCCAAUGGUGAAAACAGCUCGCUGGGGGUUUGCAGACGCUGAGACACGAAAGCCAGGGGAGCGAACGGG